rnacentral:piRNA from 1 species
UUGUAUGGCCAAGAAGAGCAAGUCCCACA